rnacentral:misc_RNA from 1 species
GGAAGUAAAAGUCGUAACAAGGUCUCCGUUGGUGAACCAGCGGCUGGUUCAUUACCGAGUUUACAACUCCCAAAUCCCUGUGAACAUACCCUUUGUUGCCUCGGCGGUGCCUGCUUCGGCCGCCCGCCAGAGGACCCAACCCCUUGAUUUCAUACAGUAUCUUCCGAGUAAAUGAUUAAAUACAUCAACACUUUCAGCAACGGAUCUCUUGGGUCUG